rnacentral:misc_RNA from 1 species
CCUGUGGUAUAGUUAACGUUCAAUUAAAGCCCAAUUAUAUAAUAUGAUUUGUUUCACUAGUACAUUGACAACUGAAAAAACAUCUGAGACCAGGGAGAGGAACAGAUAUAUAAUAAAUCAGAGAAUCUUCCAUGAGAAUGAGAGGGCGGAGGUCUUAACACUAGAGAUAGUGGAUUCCCAUAAUCCAAGUCAGAAAAAUUCCUCUUAUUUCCUGGAAUAAGAUUCUUGCUUUUGCUGGACGAACAAAUAGGAAUCCACACAACUUAAAAAACUCAGGUGGAUCAAUUCUGGUAUCUAAUGCAAGCCGUGAAUGUGUUUUGGAGAGUUAAUGUGCAAAGAAUUCAAAUAGGUAGCACUUAUAAUAGAAAGUGGAAUUAGAGGAGAGGCCCCACGGUUCACUGUGAAUAUUGGAUUGGGUCAGGUCUUCCAUCAACCCUAUCCAAGAUUCUAUGCCUCACUGGCUUUUCCCACCCCAGUCGGCUUUAUAAAAAGCCAGCACGAGCAGAUCUUUGGUUUGUGAGCAUCAACCAAAGGAGAAAAGAGAUAGGCGAGGGCAGUCGAAGAAAAUUUUGCUUAGAAGUAUGAGGACGUGAAAUUGUCCCUGAAGAACACUGCAUAAUCAAGUUCAACAUUUUAGGGAGUAACAGAUUGGAUCAAGAGAGUGAAAAAAAACAAGGCAUCAGGUAGAGAUGUAUCAUCAUCAUCAUCAAAACCGAGGAAAGAGCGUCCACUCCUCUUCAAGAAUGCCAAUCCCUCCUGAAAGGUAUUUGUUCCUACAAGGUGGGAAUGGCCCUGGAGAUUCUGGACUUGUCCUCUCAACUGAUGCAAAGCCUCGACUAAAAUGGACACCAGAUCUCCACGAACGGUUCAUAGAAGCAGUCAAUCAGCUUGGAGGAGCAGACAAAGCUACUCCAAAAACAGUUAUGAAACUUAUGGGGAUUCCAGGACUUACCUUGUAUCAUCUAAAGAGUCAUCUACAGAAGUACAGGCUCAGCAAGAAUCUGCAUGGUCAAGCUAUUAGUGGAAGCAGCAAAAUCGGUGCUACUGCUGUGGCAAGUGAUAGAAUGUCUGAAGCAAAUGGUACUCAUAUAAACAAUUUAAGCAUUGGAUCCCAAACGAGCAACUUACACAUCAGUGAAGCACUGCAAAUGCAAAUUGAAGUGCAGAGAAGGCUACAUGAGCAGCUUGAGGUACAAAGACAUUUACAGCUUCGCAUAGAGGCUCAAGGAAAAUACCUACAAGCAGUGCUAGAGAAAGCACAGGAGACUCUUGGAAGGCAGAAUUUAGGUACCAUGGGACUUGAAGCGGCCAAAGUUCAACUUUCUGAACUAGUGUCCAAAGUAUCCACUCAAUGCCUGAAUUCAGCAUUUUCAGAGCUGAAGGAACUGCAGGGUCUCCGCCCCCAGCAAACACAAACAACUCCACCCACCGAUUGUUCAAUGGACAGCUGCCUGACCUCCUGUGAAGGAUCUCAAAAGGAAGAAAUACACAACACUGGAAUGGGGUUGAGACCCUAUACUGGUAACGCUCUCUUGGAGGCAAAAGAAAUGGCAGAUGAUCACAUGCUACGUCCAACUGAACUAAAGUGGGGUGUAAACCUAAAAGAAAAUAAAAUGUUCCUUUCCCCAGUGGGAAACAAUACAGAAAGCAGAAUUUUUUCUGCAGAAAGAAGCUCUGGCGAUUUAUCCAUGAGAGUUGGACUCCAAGGUGAAAGUGGGAACACAAGUAGUAGCUUUACUGAGGGAAGAUAUAAGGGAAGGAAUGAUGAUGGCAAUUUCCCUGAACAGACUAACCAGAGGACAGAUUCAGUUAAACUACAGAAUGAGAAUGUUUCACCAGGAUAUAGAUUGCCUUACUUUGCAACAAAACUAGAUCUAAAUUCCCAUGAUGAAAUCGAUGCCGCUUCAAGUUGCAAACAAAUUGACUUGAAUGGUCUCAGCUGGAACUGAGAUGGUCCACUGGAAGGUAAACAGUAAAUGAAACAAUAUCAGAAGAUGAGGCAUCUAAUUCUGAAUUUAAAUCUGAGCAGGAGGAAGGUCAACAUGACAACCUGCUGCGUCCUUGUCCAAGCCAAUCAGCCAGGAAACAAUCAAUUCAAUCGCAAUGAAAUAAGUUGGACCAAUAGAAGUAGGGUGCAUUUAGAACCAUGUAGUGUAAUGGAUCCAACAUAUGUACUUUUGCUAUCUUCUAUAUCAUUAAGAGUUCACGGAUUAUCAACCCAAAAAAAUUCCAGCUAAGAGCUCAAAUGCUUAUUUAUCCAAUUAUCAGAUUCAAAUUAAGUAAUCUUAGUUCAUUAUUGAUAAGAAAAAUGUUCAGCUUAAAGUCCUAUUCACCGCU